CCUACGGGGGGCAGCAGUGGGGAAUAUUGCACAAUGGGGGAAACCCUGAUGCAGCGACGCCGCGUGAGUGAAGAAGUAUCUCGGUAUGUAAAGCUCUAUCAGCAGGAAAGAUAAUGACGGUACCUGACUAAGAAGCCCCGGCUAACUACGUGCCAGCAGCCGCGGUAAUACGUAGGGGGCAAGCGUUAUCCGGAUUUACUGGGUGUAAAGGGAGCGUAGACGGAAGUGCAAGUCUGGAGUGAAAUGCAGGGGGU
rnacentral:rRNA from 1 species